ensembl:lncRNA
GUAGUAGUGGUACGGGUAGUAGGGGUGAGUAGUGGUACGGGUAGUAGGGGUGAUGGUAGUAGGGGUGAUGGUAGUAGUGGUACGGGUAGUAGGGGUGAUGUGGGUGACGGGUAGUAGGGGUGAUGGUAGUAGUGGUACGGGUAGUAGGGGUGAUGGUAGUAGGGGUGAUGGUAGUAGUGGUAUGGGUAGUAGGGGUGAUGGUAGUAGGGGUGAUGGUAGUAGUGGUAUGGGUAGUAGGGGUGAUGGUAGUAGGGGUAUGGGUAGUAGGGGUGAUGGUAGUAGGGGUGAUGGUAGUAGUGGUACGGGUAGUAGGGGUAUGGGUAGUAGGGGUAUGGGUAGUAGGGGUGAUGGUAGUAGGGGUGAGUAGUGGUACGGGUAGUAGGGGUGAUGGUAGUAGGGGUAUGGGUAGUAGGGGUGAUGGUAGUAGGGGUGAUGGUAGUAGUGGUACGGGUAGUAGGGGUGAUGGUAGUAGGGGUAUGGGUAGUAGGGGUGAUGGUAGUAGGGGUGAUGGUAGUAGUGGUGACGGUAGUAGGGGUGAUGGUAGUAGGGGUGAUGGUAGUAGGGGUAUGGGUAGUAGGGGUGAUGGUAGUAGGGGUGAUGGUAGUAGGGGUGAUGGUAGUAGGGG